rnacentral:sRNA from 1 species
GUAUCUGAAGUCUGACGAGGAUGAGAACCUCCGGGGGCAAGAGGUUCGACUCGAGCGAAGCGAGAGAACGUUGCGUCAGCAACGGCCCGCAGGGCGAGCCACGCAGUGGCGAGUCAUCCUCUAUCACCGACCA